rnacentral:other from 1 species
UUUACCCUGAGGUGUUUGUCUGUGGGAUUAAGUCCCUGAGCCGAUAAGCAAUACUUUAGGAUUAGUACUUGCUAACUAUUGAGCAAGCUCGACUCGUAUCGAGAAGCCUACGGUUAACAUUGCCAAUCCGCCUUGAACCAGCUGGUUCAAGGGUCAAUAUCCUCAACGGCACCCCGGGGUAUCU